rnacentral:ncRNA from 1 species
AAAUAAUCUUAUCUACGCUAAACAAAGACAUAUGUUUAAUGAGAAAGAAAACUCCUAAAGAUAAGCGAGUCACACUAAAUACUGAUAAUAUUUAG